GUGGGGAAUAUUGGACAAUGGGCGAAAGCCUGAUCCAGCCAUGCCGCGUGUGUGAAGAAGGUCUUCGGAUUGUAAAGCACUUUAAGUUGGGAGGAAGGGCAGUAAGUUAAUACCUUGCUGUUUUGACGUUACCGACAGAAUAAGCACCGGCUAACUUCGUGCCAGCAGCCGCGGUAAUACGAAGGGUGCAAGCGUUAAUCGGAAUUACUGGGCGUAAAGCGCGCGUAGGUGGUUUUGUAAGUGGGAGGUGAAAUCCCCGGGCUCAACCUGGGAACUGGCUCCAAAACUGGAUGACUAGAGUACGGUAGAGGGUAGUGGAAUUUCCUGUGGAGCGGUGAAAUGCGUAGAUAUAGGAAGGAACACCAGUGGCGAAGGCGACUACCUGGACGGAUACUGACACUGAGGUGCGAAAGCGUGGGGAGCAAACAGGAUUAGAAACCCCUGUAGUCC
rnacentral:rRNA from 1 species